rnacentral:rRNA from 1 species
UGAGGAAUAUUGGUCAAUGGACGAGAGUCUGAACCAGCCAAGUAGCGUGCAGGAUGACGGCCCUCCGGGUUGUAAACUGCUUUUAGUUGGGAAUAAAAAAGAUGACGUGUCAUCUAUUGUAUGUACCAUCAGAAAAAGGACCGGCUAAUUCCGUGCCAGCAGCCGCGGUAAUACGGAAGGUCCAGGCGUUAUCCGGAUUUAUUGGGUUUAAAGGGAGCGCAGGCGGGCUUUUAAGUCAGUUGUGAAAUACGGCGGCUCAACCGUCGGACUGCAGUUGAAACUGGAAGUCUUGAGUUCACACAGGGAUGCCGGAAUUCAUGGUGGAGCGGUGAAAUGCUCAGAUAUCAUGAAGAACUCCGAUCGCGAAGGCAGGCAUCCGGGGUGCUACUGACGCUGAGGCUCGAAAGUGCGGGUAUC